GUGACCGAUGUGGUCAAACUGAAACUCUACUGCUACAUGGGCGUAGGUCUGCGCCCGCCCACUGCCUCGCUCUGGUCCCCACAGCCACCCACUAUUACGUCAGGCAGGGAAGCCAGUCUAUUUCCUCCCCCUUCUUUAUCUAAAGGAAGUGCCAAAAUAAGCACCGGCGGCGGAGCGGCCGAGCACCUUUCCCACUGGCCACUGAGUCGCCGUCUGAGGAAGAAGUCGCAGGAGCUUAACGCCCGCAGAAUCAACAUGAAGCCCUCCGGUGUUCUCGUGCUCUCCCUGCUCGCAUCCCUCCAUGUCUUCACACCAGGUGUGAGGCUGCAGACGACACAACCAACAAGCCCACCAGGAACAACCGCAAACCAAACAACACCGACGCAGAACAAGACAGCGUCCACAGCAGCGACCUCUUCAUCCACCACCGCAGGACCAUCAGGCAAAACAUCAGCCACAACAGCAGAACCAACAACACCAACACAAUCACCUCCAGCAGAAAUCCAACUAGGUUCAACCACAACACAAAGAGAUGCAACACCGACGCAGAACAAGUCAGCAUCCACAGCAGCGCCCUCUUCAUCCACCGCCACAGCCCAUCAUGUCACCAGCCCGAUUCCUGAGAACGGAAAACCUGAGCAGAAAACCCAUCAACCUGGGAGGACCACGACUUCCUCCGCAGCAUCUUCAGGCGGCACGAACGGCACCAGCACAGCUGAAAACAAGACAGACAAUCAAACUUUGACACCAAACACUCCUCUCGAUUCUAACACAGAGAAACCCAGAGAAACUGCACCUGCAGGUAAGAAGAGAUUUUGGUGCAAGUACAUCACGAGUAAUGAGCAAGCGUGGCUUCAUUCAGUAUUCCAAGAUUGGCUGAAAAUAUCUAUUUAAUAUCUAUUUAUUUUUCUGCAGCUACAGCAGAGAAUGGCCCAGGUUCCCACUCUGGCAGUGAACAAAGAGUCCAAUCAGACAAAAGGUGGUGGUGGAUUCUGCUGCCCAUCGGCCUCGUGGGAGCUGCUGCUAUCAUUGUCAAGUUCAAAAGCAAGAAGGUCCACGUUAACUCGGAAACCGUCGAUAUUGGAACUGAGAACGCAUCUUUCCAGAGCAGACCCGAAAGCGCCAAAGAUGGUGUCAUGCUCCUCGGGGUGAAGUCAUCGGGUGGAGAAGACAAUGCUUCUGCGAGAUAAAAAAAAGAAGGCCGGCAACAUCCAGAACGGCCAGCGGUUGAGUCACACCUGUCGCCCACGCACCAAAUGGCUCAAGGAACAGUUCAGAUGUUUGAUUUUGUGAAUAUAUUGUGAAGGAGAAAAGUCUGCAUGAUUCUGUGUUGAACGCAUUUCUGUUUUUGACUGUGAUAAUUGAUCUCAGAUUAAGUGAACUUUUAGUUUCAACUACGAUAUCCUCCUACAUACAGUUAAUCUUUGAGUUGAAAAUAUGAGAUAAAUACUUUAAUAAAUGAACCACUCCCUGUGGACGUGAGUGAAUGAACUGCGCAUCCUCGACUUCAGUGUUCUGUUGAUGAAGAGAAACCUAAAAACACGUGAGGGACUAUAAUGCUUGAUGUAAUGUAAUGCAUCACCGUCCCUUUUCAUGGUUUUGUUUGUGUUGUUUCAUCAUGUAUGUGCCUUCAACUGUAACGGCAAGAAUAGAUUUGUUGGGUUUUCUUUGUGUGCCAUUACAGACGGCAGUUGAACUGAGGUUCUGAGCUUCAGAGGUGUGCUGCUUUUUACUUUUCAUGUGUUUCAGUGAAGUGUUUCGCAUUACGUUGUUAAAUAUUCCACCAUGCUUCUCCACUGGCAAAGUAUUUUAAACCCCCACCGUUUUCCUUGUAUGUCAGUGGUAUAAAUUCACCAUCAUUUUUUGUGUGUAACAAUUGAAGCACAAGAAACUAUUUUCAGUUGUAUUUAAAGACACCGUAACUGCUUCAUGGCUGGACUUUGUUGUUUUACACCUCAACAUCCUCAAUAAAUCACUAAAACAGUUCAGCUUUGCAGAUUCAGAUGAAAUUAUUUGGGGUUAUUUGAUUGUUAGUUUGGUUUAAUAUCACCAAUGUUAAAUGUUUAAAGCGAUUUUCAGCCACAUAUUUUUUUAACUCAUUUAGUAGCUUUUCUUAUGGCAAGUCAUUGAAUUCCGAAUUCCUGCCAUAUUUUUGUUUUUUAGUUUACAAAGACAUGAUGUUUUCUGUUCUGCUUGUAAAUGAGGUAUAAUGUGCUUUAACCACCUGGACUGGCGGUUCAGUAAUCUGCCACUAGAGGGAGCCACUGCUCAGCGCAAAAGCAAGAAAGGAGCCGCGGUUCUGGCCCAGUUCUGUUGUUUAUUACAGUCACAUUUCAUCGUGGGUGUUGACAGAAGAAUGAGACAUUGGCAACCGGUGUGAAAAUCCCGCUCUUCUUGAUCUUCUUAGCACAGCGCUCACACACAGCACCGCAGAUACUUCACAACCAAGCUCCUUGUGUUGUGAUUUUCAUGGAACUAAUUAAAUGUCAUACUAGCUUCUGAAUUCACGGGGCCUUUUGUAGCUGUGCCGGCUUUAUAUUCGUGGCCUUUGUAAGGUGAGACCGGGCAGCGACUUCGACCGUGGCCCUCAAAAGAGACAGUGAGCAGACGGGCCGCUGUGGUACCGGCCGAGUUACGGCCAGGAUGUCAUGGCCGGCCGGUCACCCUCUUUAGGGCCAAGUGCAUCUCUGAUGUGUCUGAGAGGGAAAAAUCAAUGUUAGAAAUGAAUUCAAUGGAGUGCCUUCGUUGCUGAAUAAUGCCAUCGUGAGGUCAGUCUUAUUGAUUUCAGACUGUGUGCUCUCGAGAACACAUUUCCACACAUUCGAUCUCUUGAUCCGCGUUACUUGCAUCACCGCAAACAUUACAGAUAAGAACAUUAGGAGUGUUUCUGUGGAUUAUCCGCAGAUUGUCUUGAAUCCAUUAGUCAACCAGCAAUUUUAAUUGAUUUGUUUUAGUUUUUCUGAUGCAUUUUCCUUGUUUGAUUCUUUUUGUAGCAUUUGAUAAAUUACACAAACGUGUAAAAAGCAGAGAUAACGGUUCAUUAGAUUCAGGUGGCCUUGGGUCUGUUUUAUUGCCUCAUGCUGCUCAUUUGUGCCAAACCUAGCACAGCUCUCUCAUCUGCCAAUGACAUGAUGGCAUGUCAAAGUCAAAUAAUUAACUUGAGCCGAUGCCGCGUUAAAACUUUUCUAUUUUCACAAACGGACUGUUGCAGGGCGUUCAUGCACCACCAAGUAACAGCAGCUGCUCCUUUCCACGAUCCAACCAGCGCCUUAGAUAUAUGACGAAUAAGUGAAUAUAUCGUGUGCGCUGGCUCUAACAAACAAAAACAUACCAAAUGAUACGUGAGGAAACCUACUUCUUUACUUGAGAAAUGCCAUCUAUGUGCAAGGCACAUGCACUGCAAACACACAUGCACUUGCAAACCGGCAUCUCCUGCGGUCGAGAAGUGCCGAUCAGCAAAAAGGCUCCAGUUGUUGAAUUUCAUGGGGGAGGGAGGAGCAGGGGGUGGUGUCAGCCUGGCAUGCCGGGCGUCUUGAUGGGGGAUAACAGAAGGUUCAUGGAUGGAUUAGUAACCUGAAACACAACACCUUUUAUCUUGUGCCUCAGGAGUUGGCACGCGGAGGUAAUUCAGCAGCAGAUUUUGGUGGACUCGCCUUACCGAUGCCCUGAGUCUGAAGGUCAAAAGCACCACAGCGUCUCUGCCAGAGUGACUGGAGCACAUCAAAAAAAAAGGAAGGAGAGUUAAAAUAGAGGUAGAAUGUGGUACGGAGCGGGCAAUGGGAAACAUCUUAAGCACCGGCAGCAGCGAAGGGAUUGAUCCUCCACCGAGCUGACAGUCGC
ensembl:lncRNA